UAGUCUGGGAUACCACUUGGAAACAGGUGCUAAUACCGGAUAAGAAAGCGGAUCGCAUGAUCAGCUUUUAAAAGGCGGCGUAAGCUGUCGCUAUGGGAUGGCCCCGCGGUGCAUUAGCUAGUUGGUAAGGUAAAGGCUUACCAAGGCGAUGAUGCAUAGCCGAGUUGAGAGGGUGAUCGGCCACACUGGGACUGAGACACGGCCCAGACUCCUACGGGAGGCAGCAGCC
rnacentral:rRNA from 1 species